ensembl:lncRNA
UCUGGUCUGGUCUCUGGUCUCUGUUCUCUGGUCUGGUCUCUGGUCUCAGCCCCCUGGUCUUUGGUCUGGUCUCUGGUCUGGUCUCUGGUCUCUGGUCUCUGGUCUUUGGUCCCUGGUCUCUGGUCUCUGGUCUGGUCUCUGGUCUGGUCCCUGGUCUCUGGUCUGGUCUCUGGUCUCUGGUCCUCUCUGGUCUCUGGUCUCUGGUCUGGUCUCUGGUCUAGUCUCUGGUCUCUGGUCUGGUCUCUGCCCUGGUCUCUGGUCUGGUCUCUGGUCUCUGGUCUGGUCUCUGGUCUGGUCUCUGGUCUCUGGUCUGGUCUCAGGUCUCUGGUCUGGUCUCUGGUCU